rnacentral:piRNA from 1 species
UCCACAGAGAGAGGCCGGGUUAAUCCA